GCCCCAUAUACUCUGCUGAUAGGCACCAGUGUUAAGUAUCAAGACACCAGCAUCAGUUGCUUUGACAAACAGACAGACUUCAGCUUACUGCUAUCUAGUGUGGUAGCC